AUGGUGCGUUUGGUUUCCGAAAAAUGGAUGGGAAAGGAAGCGUAUUUGAAGGAUAUUAUUUUUUCUGUAUGUUUGUUUCAAAUGAAAACCCGGGAAAGAAAAGGAAACACCAGGGAUGCGGGUGGGUCACACUAAUUUGGUGAGAUCCCGCUGAGAAAGGAAAAAAGGCGAGAAAAUUUUGUCGAGAGCCCUCUCAUAGACAUCGUUGCCUCGCUUUUUCUCAUCCAAUGGUCACAUCUCCGGUGUCAUCUCUGGUGUUCCCGUUGGAUGGUAAGUGUAGUUCCGACACUAUCUCCAUUUGAUGGGUGGCCAUUGAAAUCUCACCGCUGGCUCCAUCCGUUUGUGGUCAUCUAGACCUCACCGCCAGCGUUCUCGACAAAGGUUUUAAUGGCCAAAUAUUAUGUUGUCUUCAAAGGUCGUUGCCCUGGAGUGUACUUUAAAUGGGCAGAGUGCAAUGCACAGGUACACUGAUUUAGGGGAGCAAUUUAUUGCGUGUACACCACAUAUGAAGACGCUAUACACCAAUUCCGUAUGUAUCAAAACAGAUUUUCCACACCAAAUAGUCUACAUCAACUUAAAUCCGAGGAAGGAUGCUCUUCUACACAAGAUAAUGCUUGAAACAACGAAUCAGUGGAAGAAAAAACUAGGCUAGAAUGUUUCAUUAUUAGUUUUCUUGUAGUAGCUAUGAUUAUCUUAUAUUAUAUGAAAUGAGAAACAAUAUAUAAUGUAAGCAAGUACUGUGCACAAUAUGGAACAUGAUAGUUAUCAUUUUGUCGAAUGUGGUUGCGAUA